AUACGUAGGGUGCAAGCGUUAAUCGGAAUUACUGGGCGUAAAGCGUGCGCAGGCGGUUUUGUAAGACAGAGGUGAAAUCCCCGGGCUAAACCUGGGAACUGCCUUUGUGACUGCAAGGCUAGAGUACGGCAGAGGGGGAUGGAAUUCCGCGUGUAGCAGUGAAAUGAGUAGAUAUGCGGAGGAACACCGAUGGCGAAGGCAAUCCCCUGGGCCUGUACUGACGCUCAUGCACGAAAGCGUGGGGAGCAAACAGGAUGAGAUUCCCUGGUAGUCCACGCCCUAAACGAUGUCAACUGGUUGUUGGGUCUUCAUUGACUCAGUAACGAAGCUAACGCGUGAAGUUGACCGCCUGGGGAGUACGGCCGCAAGGUUGAAACUCAAAUGAAUUGGCGGGG
rnacentral:rRNA from 1 species